rnacentral:rRNA from 1 species
GUUUUCGACAUCAAACUGCACAAAGAUUUUGAUCUCGGAAGCUAAGCAGGGUCAGGCCUGGUUAGUACUUAGAUGGGAGACCACCUCGGAAGACCAGGUGUUGUAGGCG